rnacentral:rRNA from 2 species
UAGGGAAUCUUCCGCAAUGGGCGAAAGCCUGACGGAGCAACGCCGCGUGAGUGAUGAAGGUCUUCGGAUCGUAAAACUCUGUUAUUAGGGAAGAACAAAUGUGUAAGUAACUAUGCACGUCUUGACGGUACCUAAUCAGAGAGCCACGGCUAACUACGUGCCAGCAGCCGCGGUAAUACGUAGGUGGCAAGCGUUAUCCGGAAUUAUUGGGCGUAAAGCGCGCGUAGGCGGUUUUUUAAGUCUGAUGUGAAAGCCCACGGCUCAACCGUGGAGGGUCAUUGGAAACUGGAAAACUUGAGUGCAGAAGAGGAAAGUGGAAUUCCAUGUGUAGCGGUGAAAUGCGCAGAGAUAUGGAGGAACACCAGUGGCGAAGGCGACUUUCUGGUCUGUAACUGACGCUGAUGUGCGAAAGCGUGGGGAUCAAACAGG